CACGUAGGGGACGAGCGUUGUCCGGAUUCAUUGGGCGUAAAGCGCGCGUAGGCGGCUCGGAAAGUCGGGCGUGAAAUGCCGGGGCUCAACCCCGGGACUGCGUCCGAUACUUCCGAGCUGGAGGUAGGUAGGGGAGAGUCGGAAUUCCUGGUGUAGCGGUGAAAUGCGCAGAUAUCAGGAGGAACACCGGUGGCGAAGGCGGAUCUCUGGGCCUUACCUGACGCUGAGGCGCGAAAGCUAGGGGAGCGAACAGG
rnacentral:rRNA from 1 species